UUUUUUUUUUUUUUUUUUUAAGAGACAGGGUAUUGCUCUGUCACCUAGGUUGGAGAGCAGUGGCACCAUCAUAGCUCACUUCAGCCUCUAUCUCUGGGGCUCGAGCGAUCCUCCUACCUCAGCCUCCAGAGUAGCUGGGUCUAUAAGCGCACACCACCGCGCUCAGUUGAUUUUUAUUUUUUGUAGAGAAGGGGUCUCGCCAUGUUGCUCAGGCUGGUCUCAAACUUCUGGGCUCAAGCGAUCCUCCCGCCUGCGUCUCCCAAAAUGCUGGGAUUACAGGCAUGAGCCACGAUGCCAGCCACACAGGUAACAUUUGAUCAGAGCACUGGAAGAAGCGAACGGGGGAGUGAUGGAAAUAUCAGAGGAAAGAGUAUACUGGGGAGAGGGAGCAGCACAUGCAAAGGCCCUGGGGCAGGACUGCACACGGCAUGUUGCAGGAAUAGCAAGAUCCAUGAGGGAGUUGGGGGGCAGGAGCCGAGGUCUGACAGGAACAAGCUGGGGCCACUGACAGCGCCCUCCCUGACCCGGGGGGGCAGGAGCCAAGGUCUGACAGGGAACAAGCUGGGGCCACUGACAGCGCCCUCCCUGACCCUGAAUGCCUGAGAGUCAUUGCAGAGCUCUGGGCAGCGGUGAGAAAGAGCUGACUGAAGUUCUAACAGGACCACUCUGCUACUAUGUGAAGAAUGAAUUCCACAGGUUAGAGGAGGCAGGGAGACCCACGAGGAGGCUGCUGUGCCAUCCAGACGGGCAGUGCCGGUGGUGCAGUGGAGAUGGAAGGAAGGGUGGAUUGCUGAGAUAGAGACAGAGGAGGAGUUAAGGGUCAGGAAUAAUCCCAAGGUUUUUGGCCUGAGCAAGUGAAGGGCAAAUGGAGGAGAGAGAUUUGUGACUGGCUGACGCGGAGCUGCCCACUGGCCAUCCACGUGAAGAAGUGGCACAAGCUGUUGGCUGGACAGGUCUAGGUUUUGGGAGAGAAAUCCAGGCCGGUGUGGGCACCUGCUGUAUGAGUUCCCAUGUCCUGCACACAGUAGGUCCUCAGUAAAUGCCUGCUCAUUGGGCCUGCAGGGGACACAUUACAGGCCACAGCCCAGCUCCCAGCCUCCAGGAGAGUCGUACAAGGGGCCUAGGGCCAAUCAUAGAGAGCCACACCCUGAGGGGCACGUGGGGCACCACCAGCAUUUCUCGGGUGGCACUGUGGAGGGGGAGCUGGGAAGAACUCUUGGGCGAGGUGGUGGAAAUCUUAGCAGAUGGAGAUGGGUGUUUUGGGAAGGCGAGAAAGUGGAGGAAGAAGGCCCAGCGGAGCCGAGGUUAAGUGGACGGUGCAGGAGCCCAACCCUGGUUUCAAUCUGGGCUCUGGGACUGUGAGCAAGACACUUAACCUCUGAGGUCUCCAUUGCUGACAGGAAUGCUAACUAUCCCCCUUCAUGGGUUUGUGUGGGGAUCAAAUGAAUUAAUCCACGGAAACUGCGCUGAGCAACACGAUGGCAGGUGCCCCAUAAACGUCAACUGCCUGUUAGCGUUGCAUCCAAAGCUGCCUGCGAGGAUGGACAGAUCACCGGCAGAGGGGAACAGCACAUGAGGCCUCGGGGACAGGAGCCGGGGGCCCAGAAAAUGAGAGGACUUCAUUCCCUUUGGGCGAUUGGAGUCAUGGAAAGUUCUGCAGAGAGAGGAGUAGAUGUUCCUGUCAGUCCUUGAUUAGCCUCUGCCUGCGCUCGGCUUGGUCCCCCCUCCCAUCCUAGGCCGGAGGGUCCUAGCCAGCAACCUGCCUCCUGGGCCCAGGACACACUCAUGAAGCUAAUGCUUGGUGAGUCCAGGUCUUCUGAGGCCACUCAUCCUCACAGCAGUCUCACGUGUGAGGCCGGUCCUAUUAUUAUUAUUGUUGUUUGACAAGUGAGGACACCAAGGCACAGUGAAUGUCACACAGAUCAAUGUUGUCUUGCAGAUAGCAGGUGACAGAGCCAGGAGUCAAGCCCAGGCUGGGGAUUCAACUCCAGAAUCCACACUGGCCUCUCCC
rnacentral:lncRNA from 1 species